AUACGGAGGGUGCAAGCGUUACUCGGAAUCACUGGGCGUAAAGCGCGCGCAGGCGGCUUGAUAAGUUGGAUGUGAAAGCCUACGGCUCAACCGUAGAACUGCAUCCAAAACUGUCAAGCUAGAGUCUGGGAGGGGAAGAUGGAAUUAGUUGUGUAGGGGUAAAAUCCGUAGAGAUAACUAGGAAUACCAAAAGCGAAGGCGAUCUUCUGGAACAGUACUGACGCUGAGGCGCGAAAGCGUGGGGAACAAACAGGAUUAGAAACCCCAGUAGUCC
rnacentral:rRNA from 1 species